AUGGAUAUGUCAGUUGGUGUGUUAGUUUGGAAUGUCAGGGGGCUUAAUAACCCUGCUAGGCAUAGCUCUGUCCGUUUGUUUCUGCAAUCUUGCAAUGCUUCCCUUGUUUGUUUCCAAGAAUCCAAAUUGGUUGUGCUGGAUAAUGGGACCGUUGGGCAAACUUUAGGCCCAGCCUUUGAUGGUUUUGAUUUUCUUCCAGCUGAAGGAACUAGAGGGUGGAUUUUGCUUGCUUGGAAGUCAGAUGUGCUGCUGGUUUGUACGGAACACAAAGGGGAAUUCUCUGUGACCAUUAAGAUUACUUCCUUAGCGGAUGGUAAAGAAUGGAUGGUUACAUCGGUCUAUGGGCCUCAAGACAAUGCAGAUAAAAUCAGAUUCCUGGAGGAAAUUGUGGAGUUUGGGAGGGAUAUUCAGCUACCAUGGAUCCUGAAUGGGGAUUUUAAUUUGGUUUGCAGUGAAGAGGAGCGCAGCACACACAUGAUCAACAGGAGAUUGGCAAACAAAUUCAGACACACCAUUAAUACCAUGGGCCUUCACGACAUGCCGCUGGUGGGUAGGAGAUUUACCUGGUGCAAUGAUCAAGAAAACACUGAUGGCCAGAUUGGAUCGUUUACUAUUUAA
rnacentral:rRNA from 1 species